AACAGUCGACCUCUGACCCUGACAGUGAACCAAAACAAACACCUGGUUCUAGACCCAGUCAGCAGUCAGCAUGCAGGAAACUACUCCUGUGCUGUCAAAACCCAAAACAGCAACCGCUCUAAUGAAAAGACUCUCACCGUCCACAAUAAAUCAGGAAAAUGGAUAACAGCAGCAGCUGCAGGACUCUGUAGUUUUCUCCUGGUUAUAGUAGCCCUCGCUGUCUUCUUGUGGUUUAGAAGAAAGAGGACUUCUAGUCAAUCUGCUAGAGAUGAAACCGCAGACAACUUGGAGCAGCUAAACCCUGGCCCUGUGUAUGAGGACAUCUCUGCCCAACCAACAGAGCAGAAUGAUCUUCACUACAGCAGCAUCCACUUCUCAAAGAACCACACGGAUCCUCUUUACAGCACAGUCCAGCCACAUCCGCCUCAAGAACAAGAGCAAUCCCAUUAUGCUGUUGUCAACUUCAGACUUAGCACGACCCCUGAGUAAGUAUCCCUUGGUAUUACGUCUUCAGGCUCUAUUUGAGGGAUAUAUUGUUAGAAUUACAUUGCUUAUUAUAGGAUUAUCCACAUAUCCUAGUAAUAUCCC